GAACUGUUUUCUGGGAACAAGAUCUAACGAUGAAGUUAGCUCGAAGUUUAUGCGAAACAACAGGAGAUCCUUGGGCUGUGGCCAAUUUCCCUGAAGUAUACGUUGGUGAAUAGCUUUAGCGGAGUUCCAUUGUAGCAUGAGCUUUGCUUGGGCACAGCUCAGCUUGCUCGAGGUUGGGUCAUUUUUCAGAUGGAUCCAUGAUGGUAGCCCAAAUCAGUUUCAUACAGCG
rnacentral:lncRNA from 1 species